rnacentral:rRNA from 1 species
GCAACUCGCCUGCAUGAAGUCGGAAUUGCUAGUAAUCGCGGAUCAGCAUGCCGCGGUGAAUACGUUCCCGGGCCUUGUACACACCGCCCGUCACACCAUGGGAGUCGGUAGCACCCGAAGCCGAUAGUCUAACGAAAGAGGACGUCGUCGAAGGUGGGAUUGAUGACUGGGGUGAAGUCGUAACAAGGUAGC